rnacentral:rRNA from 1 species
UGGGGAAUAUUGCACAAUGGGCGCAAGCCUGAUGCAGCCAUGCCGCGUGUGUGAAGAAGGCCUUCGGGUUGUAAAGCACUUUCAGCGAGGAGGAAGGUGGUGAACUUAAUACGUUCAUCAAUUGACGUUACUCGCAGAAGAAGCACCGGCUAACUCCGUGCCAGCAGCCGCGGUGAUACGGAGGGUGCAAGCGUUAAUCGGAAUUACUGGGCGUAAAGCGCACGCAGGCGGUUUGUUAAGUCAGAUGUGAAAUCCCCGGGCUCAACCUGGGAACUGCAUUUGAAACUGGCAAGCUAGAGUCUCGUAGAGGGGGGUAGAAUUCCAGGUGUAGCGGUGAAAUGCGUAGAGAUCUGGAGGAAUACCGGUGGCGAAGGCGGCCCCCCUGGACGAAGACUGACGCUCAGGUGCGAAAGCGUGGGGAGCAAACAGGAUUAGAUACCCUGGUAGUCCACGCUGUAAACGAUGUCGAUUUGGAGGUUGUGCCCUUGAGGCGUGGCUUCCGGAGCUAACGCGUUAAA